rnacentral:tRNA from 1 species
GGAGAGUUGCCAGAGUGGUUAUUGGAGCGGUUUGCUAAACCGUGGCCUCGAAAGGGGCCCGUGGGUUCGAAUCCCACACUCUCCG